ACCUGAGAGUUUAUUAAUUACAUUGGAGUUCUUGAAAUUUUGAAUUCUUAGCUCUUCUGGCAGCCCCUCCCCAUCCUUGAAAGAGUCCCCAUUUCUUAGAGUUAAGUUUACAGAGCACUAAAACAGUUAAGCAAAAUGGCUUCUUUGGGGUAAAAGUUGAUACCCUGCUAGUGGUCCAACUGUGGAGAGUGCAGUAAAGGCCAACAGACCUGUUUGUGUGUAAAUGGGUUUACCGAAAAUCCAGUGGGGGACAGUAGUGCCACAUGCAUAGGACAAGAACACAUGUUCUCAUUGAUAUAAGGAUUGAGUUCAAACUUGAGCAGCCACCAACAGGCAGGAGCCAUGGAUCUUGGGUGUCAACUGAUUGAUUGGAGCCACUGUCCUGAAAACUUUUCAGGGAGGGCUAGAGGUGACAUUUUUGGUCUUAGCCUGUGUAAGGUUUGGGCAGGGGAUGUUAGAAGAUAGACAUACACACACACACACACACAUGCACACACGCACACACGCGCACAUGCACAUGCACACACACAUACAUACACAUGGUCUCAGCAGUAUUUCCCUACAAGGAAACUAUUCUCAGACUUCCAAGACUGGCUUUAACUUUUGGUUUUGGUUUGUGGCCAUACCUUGCCUCCCUUUGAGCCUAUGAUUUCCCAGGAAAAUGUGUUUGCACUAGCAAGAGAUAUUGUUCUAGGUGACCUAUAGGGUACCAUGCCAGGCAAAGUAAAGAGAGGAAGAGAGAGACAGAGAGAGAGAGAGAGAGCAAGCUAUAGGAAUUUGUUGUUGUGUAGGCCAGACUACAGACUUGCAGGGAUGCUGGGAAAUGCUACCAAUUUGUCUUAGUCAGGGUUUCUAUUCCUGCACAAACAUCAAGACCAAGAAGCAAGUUGGGGAGGAAAGGGUUUAGUCAGCUUACAUAUUCACAUUGCUGUUCAUCACCAAAGGAAGGAGGACUGGAAGUCAAGCAGGUCAGGAAGCAGGAGCUGAUGCCGAGGCCAUGGCGGGGUGUUCCUUACUGGCUUGCCAGGGGAGCUGACUUGGCUUCUCUGCUUCUGAAAUCAAUGCUGUGUGCUCUUGAAGAUCCACUGCUGGCCCUUCCCUGGCUACUCUCCUCGGAAAAUAACCAAGGUUCAUUUCGUGUCACUACUGAGGAGCCCCAAGAGAUCAGAGAUGGAGGAGGUGAGCUUUGAGGCAGAUGUCUCCUGGCUCCACCCGCUCAGAGGUCACCAGGAGUUGUCACCUCUCUGGACUAGAGGUCUCUUCCCCUGUCCCCUCUAGGGAAGCCUACAUCGCGGGACCUUCCUGAACCUGUCCCUCACCUUUGUGGAUAGACUGUUUAUUAAACACUCCUCGAAUUAUUCUGCUGGGACCUUGACCAAAGUACUGUGUGUAAUCUUUCACCAUAUACCCCAAGCAGAAGGUUUGAAAUUUUAGAGAUCUAGAUUCCCAUGGUCUCUAAAGAGCCAGCAGCACAUUCGGGGGCAGUGGCUGCCAGAAGUAAGGACGCAUCCCCGUCUAUCUAAUGUUCUGAGUUAUAAGAUAUCCUCUAGGAAAGGGCCUCAGUCAAGUAGCCAGACAGGAA
rnacentral:lncRNA from 1 species